AUUGAACGCUGGCGGAAUGCUUUACACAUGCAAGUCGAACGGCAGCACGGACUUCGGUCUGGUGGCGAGUGGCGAACGGGUGAGUAACAUAUCGGAACGUAUCCAAUAACGGGGGAUAACUAAUCGAAAGGUUGGCUAAUACCGCAUACGCCCUACGGGGGAAAGCAGGGGAUCUUCGGACCUCGCGUUAAUGGAGCGGCUGAUAUCUGAUUAGCUAGUUGGUGAGGUAAAGGCUCACCAAGGCGACGAUCAGUAGCUGGUCUGAGAGGACGACCAGCCACACUGGAACUGAGACACGGUCCAGACUCCUACGGGAGGCAGCAGUGGGGAAUUUUGGACAAUGGGCGCAAGCCUGAUCCAGCCAUUCCGCGUGAGUGAAGAAGGCCUUCGGGUUGUAAAGCUCUUUCGCAAGGGAAGAAAACUUACUUUCUAAUAAAGAGUGAGGUUGACGGUACCUUGAUAAGAAGCACCGGCUAACUACGUGCCAGCAGCCGCCGUAA
rnacentral:rRNA from 1 species